AGAGUUUGAUCCUGGCUCAGAAUGAACGCUGGCGGCGUGCCUAACACAUGCAAGUCGAGCGGUAAGGCCCCUUCGGGGGUACACGAGCGGCGAACGGGUGAGUAACGCGUGGGUAACCUGCCCAGAAGUGGGGGAUAGCCCCGGGAAACCGGGGGUAAUACCGCAUGUGCUCCUGCCGACGCAAGUCGGCUCUUGGAAAGGCGGGGAUCCUUCGGGACCUGUCGCUUCUGGAUGGGCCCGCGUCCGAUUAGCUAGUUGGUAGGGUAACGGCCUACCAAGGCGACGAUCGGUAGCCGGCCUGAGAGGGUGAACGGCCACAUUGGGACUGAGACACGGCCCAGACUCCUACGGGAGGCAGCAGUGGGGAAUUUUGGGCAAUGGGCGCAAGCCUGACCCAGCGACGCCGCGUGGAGGAUGAAGGCCUUCGGGUUGUAAACUCCUGUCAGGUGGGAAGAAAUCUCUGCCGGUGAAUAUCCGGCAGCGUUGACGGUACCACCAAAGGAAGCCCCGGCUAACUCCGUGCCAGCAGCCGCGGUAAUACGGAGGGGGCAAGCGUUAUUCGGAUUUACUGGGCGUAAAGCGCACGUAGGCGGCAUUGCAAGUCGUAGGUGAAAGCCCUCGGCUCAACCGAGGAAUUGCCUUCGAAACUGCGCUGCUUGAGUCCGGGAGGGGGGAGCGGAAUUCCCAGUGUAGCGGUGAAAUGCGUAGAUACUGGGAGGAACACCGGUGGCGAAGGCGGCUCCCUGGACCGGUACUGACGCUGA
rnacentral:rRNA from 1 species